rnacentral:rRNA from 1 species
UACAGAGGGUGCGAGUGUUAAUCGGAAUUACUGGGCGUAAAGCGUGCGUAGACGGUUAUGUAAGUCAGAUGUGAAAGCCCCGGGCUCAACCUGGGAAUUGCAUUUGAGACUGUGUAGCUAGGGUGCGGAAGAGGGAAGCGGAAUUUCUGGUGUAGCAGUGAAAUGCGUAGAUAUCAGAAGGAACAUCAGUGGCGAAGGCGGCUUCCUGGACCAAUACUGACGAUCAGGUGCGAAAGCGUGGGGAGCAAACAGG